GCGGGCGUAGUUUAGUGGUAAAACCUCAGCCUUCCAAGCUGAUGAUGCGGGUUCGAUUCCCGCCGCCCGCU
rfam:Synechococcus sp. RS9917 scf_1099465004208 genomic scaffold, whole genome shotgun sequence.